rnacentral:lncRNA from 1 species
AAAGCGGCGCAUUGAGGCAGGUGGGGUGCCAGUGGAAGAGAGAAAGCAGGCGAGUGUUUACGGCCUGACUUGGGAGGCCGGCGGAUCAGCAAUUGCAGAAGCAGGCAGCGGCAGAGAGGGAAUGGUGCAGGCAGGCGCUGAGAAGGACGCGCAGUCCAUCUCUCUCAGGUACUUGAAGAAACAGAAGCUCAACAUUUAUAUCAGUCCAUCUUGCCUGAUAUGGUGAAAAUUGCACUCUGUCUGCCAAAUAUUUGCACCCAGCCAAUACCACUCCUGAAACAGAAGAUGAAUCAUUCCAUCACAAUGUCGCAGGAACAGAUUGCCAGUCUUUUAGCUAAUGCUUUCUUCUGCACAUUUCCACGAUGAAAUGCUCAGAUGAAAUCGGAGUAUUCUAGUUACCCAGACAUUAACUUCAAUCGAUUGUUUGAGGGACGUUCAUCAAGGAAACCGGAGAAACUUAAAACGCUCUUCUGCUACUUUAGAAGAGUCACAGAGAAAAAACCUACUGGGUUGGUGACAUUUACAAGACAGAGUCUUGAAGAUUUUCCAGAAUGGGAAAGAUGUGAAAAACCCUUGACACGAUUGCAUGUCACUUACGAAGGUACCAUAGAAGAAAAUGGCCGAGGCAUGCUACAGGUGGAUUUUGCAAAUCAUUUUGUUGGAGGUGGUGUAACCAGUGCAGGACUUGUGCAAGAAGAAAUCCGCUUUUUAAUCAAUCCUGAGUUGAUUAUUUCACGGCUCUUCACUGAGGUGCUGGAUCACAAUGAAUGUCUAAUUAUCACAGUGUCAGAGAUGGCUUUGGAUUCCCCAUUCUGUGUGCUGCUGUCUGGCUCCUGAACCCACCUGUAGAGGUGUGUCAAUCCCAGCUGGUGAAGUACUGAGAAGAAGCUACACAAAAGGCAUCAAAGUAUUAGUAAGUGUACCUCUGACAUUUUAACCACCUCUGACUUUUCCAUGGAAUGGACAAGUAGUAGUCUCUGUCAGAGCUACAUUUUAAAGGAGAAAAAGAAACGUGAAGUCAUGAACUGUUUAUUUAUGCUGUUAUUUUUGUGUUUACUCACCUCAUUUAUAUUGACUUGUAAAUUAGUAAUUUCUGAACUAUUACUUAUCAAUUCAUUGCCUACAUGUCAGCAAACAAAUUUUCUUCUUAAUAAAGAAUACAGUUGCUGGGCA